GACAGAGGAGCCAAGCGUUGUCCGGAAUUACUGGGCGUAAAGCGUGCGCAGGCGGUUCGUUGUGUCGGUGGUGAAAGCCCCGGGCUUAACCUGGGAAUGGCCAUGGAAACUGGCGAACUGGAGUGUGGCAGAGGGGGGUGGAAUUCCGCGUGUAGCAGUGAAAUGCGUAGAGAUGCGGAGGAACACCGAUGGCGAAGGCAGCCCCCUGGGCUAGCACUGACGCUCAGGCACGAAAGCGUGGGGAGCAAACAGG
rnacentral:rRNA from 1 species